CGGCCUACACAUGCAGUCGACGGUCCCAGGAAGAAGCUUGCUUCUUUGCUGACGAGUGGCGGACGGGUGAGUAAUGUCUGGGAAACUGCCUGAUGGAGGGGGAUAACUACUGGAAACGGUAGCUAAUACCGCAUAACGUCGCAAGACCAAAGAGGGGGACCUUCGGGCCUCUUGCCAUCGGAUGUGCCCAGAUGGGAUUAGCUAGUAGGUGGGGUAACGGCUCACCUAGGCCACGAUCCCUAGCUGGUCUGAGAGGAUGACCAGCCACACUGGAACUGAGACACGGUCCAAACUCCUACGGGAGGCAGCAGUGGGGAAUAUUGCACAAUGGGCGCAAGCCUGAUGCAGCCAUGCCGCGUGUAUGAAGAAGGCCUUCGGGUUGUAAAGUACUUUCAGCGGGGAGGAAGGGAGUAAAGUUAAUACCUUUGCACAUUGACGUUACCCGCAGAAGAAGCACCGGCUAACUCCGUGCCAGACCCCCGGGGAAAUAA
rnacentral:rRNA from 1 species